rnacentral:lncRNA from 1 species
GAAUACCCAAAAGAGAUCGUCGUAAUCUACUCAACUAUAACUGUUGCACUCAGAUAUCUUUACAACUUAAACGUCAUUCCACUGACUAUUACAGUCAUCACUACUCAUACAUUACUCCAUUCACUAACGACAAUCAAUUCAGAAGAAAUUUUGGUUAAUACAUUCUUUAAACAUCAUACCUGAAUGAGUCGAUUAGUCGAGAUUAACUUCUUCUUUAAUAGUGACAUUGUGCAAUCCGAAUGAUCUUCAGAACAAUCUGAUGCCUCUUCUACAACUUUCUUCACUUGCUAACCCAUUCUCAUUUCU